AAAGAAUAGAAAUGUCUAUUGAAGCUCUUUACCUAUUUCUGAAUUUUUGUUAAGUUGUAAAAGUAUGUAUUCUGGAUACUAAGGUGCUUUAUAAGAUACACGAUUUGCAAAUAUUUUCUCCCAUUCUGUGGGUUGUCUUUUUACCCUCUUGAUAAUGUCCUUUGAUGUACUGUAGUUUUGAUUUUGGUUAAGAGGGCAUCCUGCAAAGUAGCAGAGUAGGAAUCUCUACAGGUUAAUUCUUACAUUGAAACAACCAGUAAACUGGAAAAAAUGACCAGAAUCAACUUUCAGAUUGUGGAGUCAGGGGAGUGCUUGAUGAUGGGAGAGGCUACUGCUCUGGGGAAAGUCCCAAAUGGACUGUACUAACCAUCAACAAGCAAAAAUAAGCCACCUCUUGGAAGCUGGAAAAUUACUGAAUUUAUCCUACUUGGAGCUUAUUGAGCAUCUGACAUGUAUGGAUUCAUGUUCUUCAUCAAAUUUGGAAACUUUUCAGUAUUAAUUAUUCCACUUUUUUUUUUGGGCCUCUUCCUCUUACAGGACGUGUUCGAUGGUGUUCCACAGGUGCCUUAGGUUCUGUUCAUUUUUUCUUUAUUUUUUCAUUUUAAUCUUCAGACUGGAUAAUUUCAAUUGUUUUAUCUUCAUGUUUGCUGAUUCUUCUGCCUGAUCAAAUCUACCUUUGCACUGCUGUAUGAUUUUUUUCGUUUUAGCUCUUGGGCUUUUCAGCUGCAGAAUUUCUUUUUGAUUCCUUUCUAUAAUGUAUGUCUCUUUACUGACAUUCCCUGUUUGUUCAUACCCUCUUCUGAUGUCCUUUAACUCUUUGUGCAUAGUUUCUUUUAUUUCAUUGAGCCUAUUUGAGACAGUUGACUUAACAUCCUUGACUAGUAGUUUGAUUGUCUGGGCUGUCCCAGGGAUAGUUUGCUGUCAAAUUAUUUUUUUUCUGUCAGCCAGCCAUUCAAUUUGAGUAUUACACUGUGGUGGUAACUCAAAAACAUAUUGUCCUUUUACUCAGGGAUUUAUUUUGUUGUUUAUUGAGAUCUAAAGUUGUCUAUUUGUAUAGUGACUUUUCCAAAUGAUUUUUGUGAAGUCUGUGUUCCUUAUUAUGUGGAUUAUUGAAGUUUCUGUCUGAUUAACUCUGUAUCUGCUUUCAGCCUCUCAGAUAUUUUUAAAUGUCUAGAUUCUUAAAAACUGGUGUGUAUUCCUUUUAAAUGUUCUGAUAGAUGUCACCAGAGAAGCUAUCAUAAGCCUAAGGGAAUCAGAUAUAGCCAACCAUCUCUGCUGAUCCUCAGGGAACUGCCAUACCAAUUAAAUCACACCCCAGAAUUUUAGAGCACAAAGUCCAUACUGUUCACUGUAGCAACAGUGAGCCACUCUAGGAAUGCUGUCCCUGUGUUGCAGCAGGACUGUGGAAGGAGUCAUGGUAGCUGGUUCAAACACACGACUCUCUUACCAAAGAUAGAUAGUCACCUUGAUAAUACCAAUAAUUAUAUCACAGCUGUCUAAAAUAUGUAUUAUUUCUCAAUAGUCUAAUACAAGUCCAUCUUCCAUUUUUUUCCCUUUUCCCAAAAAUGCCCUUUAUGUCUGUUUAUUAUUGUUAUUAUUUUUUAAAUAGGGACAGGGUCUCCCUAUGUUGCCCAGGCUGGUCAUGAACACCUGGCCUCAAGUGACCCUCCCGUUUUGGCCUCCCAAAAUAUUAGGAUUACAGGCAUGAGCCACCAUACCUGGCCAUGUUUCUCUUAAUCUGGAAUUACUUCUAUGAUUAAUAUGAGUGGUGGCUCAUACCUGUGAUCCUAGCACUUUGGGAGGUUGAGGCAGGAGGAUCACUUGAUGGCAAGAGUUGAAAACCAGCCUGGGCAACAUAGCAAGACCCCAUCUGUAUUUUAAAAAGGAAAAUAAAAUGAAACAACAACAAAAAGAAAGAUGUUAAACCUUACAAUACGGAGUAUGUCAGCUAAAACUAUACCAAUAUAGCUAUUUUUCAUCUAUCAGGCAAGAGUCCAAAUGUUUGUUAAAAUACUCUAUUUGAGACUUUGAGAAACUGGAUAUUGUUACACAUUUCCAACGAGAGUGCAUUUGGUGGUUUCUAACAAAACUGCAGAUCCUUUUAUCCUUUGACCCACAAACCCACUUCUAAGAAUCUAUUUUAAGGGUACAUCUGCCACUAGUAAAGUGAUAUGUAGACAGAGUUAUUCAUUGAGUCAUCACUGUAAUAGCAAAAGAUGGGAAAUAAGUUGUAAAAAAGGACUGGUUGAGGUACAUAGAAUGUGGGGAAAAAAAGAAGGCAGGUAGAUCUUUAUUCACUGAUAAGGAGUGGUCACCGGGAUGUAUUGUUAAGUGGAAAACAAAAACAAAAACAAGCUGCAGUACAGUGUUUUUUUGCAAAAAGAACUUCUAGGAAAAGAAAAAGAAAAAAAUACUGGAUAGACACCAGAAAACACGGCUUAAUAAGAAUGAUUAUUUAUAGGGCAGGUCAAGUAGGGCAAAUGGAAUUGAGUGAUAUAGAUGGAAGAGAGGGUCGGGGGCUAGGGAGGGAUAGCAUUAGGAGAAAUAACUAAUGUAGAUGACGGGUUGAUGGGUUAAGCAAACCACCAUGGUACAUAUAUACUUAUGCAACAAACCUGCAUGUUCUGCACAUGUAUCUCAGAACUUAAAAGUAUAAUAAUGAAAUUAAAAAUAAAAUUAAUAGUAGUGUCCUGUGAGAAAUCCAAUUGUUAUAAUUUAUAUUAUUUGAUAAAUACAAUGAAAGUAUCAUAAAAAGACUCACACUCUUUUGACUAUAAAGAAAAAAGAUGGAAGAGAGAUUUGCUAUACUUUUUUUUU